GUGAAGUAGAACUGGUUUAAUGAGCACAAAGGCAUUUCUUAUAUACAGUUUUCCCCACAAGGUUACCACCCACGUGGACCUUGUGGAGCACAGGACACAGUCACAAAAGCCAAUCAAAACCGUAUUGUAUAAUUAGACACUCCCAGAUACUGUACACAAAACCUCCCCUCUGCCUGUGAUACAAUUAAACACAUUGGACUAACUCAAUUACCACAGGCAUAAAAUAUAAAUUUUUACCCAAAGUCCAGAAACACCCCAAAACACAAACAUAUCCCCAUAAAUCCCUGAUCUGGGUGAACAACAUAUCCAAAAAAAAAAAUCACUCAGAUCAGAGCAGGGGUUCCAAAGUUUUCUGGGAGUCACAUUUGACCUACCACAAGCAUAGCUUUCAUGCCCAAAACAGUUCCACAGAUUUAUGCUGUGCGGCCUGGCUAUCUUCUCCUCUAUCCUGGAGAUAACUGGCUUAAGUGGCUGUAGUAACUUAACUCCAGGUACAGGAAAUAUCUCUAAGUCAGAAACUGUUACAAAAACCACAUAAAAUGCAUACUUAUAAUACAAUGUUUAACCUAUAUGUCCAACAUAUCCCUUGGAUCUAAGCGAUCAAUAUGUCCAAUGUUAAAAGUGUCCUAUAGUACAAGGAAGGGUGGGUUCAGAAAACAGCCAAGGACUAAUUAAAGUAUUUAGAAAAUUGGGCAGACUAGAUGGACCUAAUGGUUCCAUCUGCUGUCACAUUCUAUUUUCUAUAUCUAUGAAAAGAUGUUGCAGUGGAGUUUGCCAAGAGCCUGAAACAUCCCCAUGUUCUCCCUUAAAAACACAAUCUACACUCCUCCAAGUCCAACCUCUCAUGGCUUACUACCCAUUUUAGUCCCCUGAUGGAUAACUAUAAGCAAGAUGUGGGCUAUAAAAUCUCAAAGGUGUGUCAUUUCUGUAAACGUUAACCUUUUUCCAUGUUUUUUUUAAUCCCUUCCUCUACUCAUCUCAGUUGUGUACUUUAAAGAGUUGUGAUCUCAGACAGGUUUGUGAGGAAUGGAAGGAAAACCUUAAUUGUAGAAUAUUUUAAACAUACUGAGAUUGGUGGCUAAAAUCUACCAUAUUUUUCUUCCAAUAUUUUCAAGCUGCAAAACUCAAACCAAAUAUUGGCCCUAUACCAGAACCAAUGGGUAGGUAUAAAACUUAGGAACUUUUGGCAGCCUAAACAUUCUGUCCUUUUGACUUUUCCCACAUCGCCCUGUACACCUACAUGUCUUUACAGGAUGAAGGCUCAUGUUCAGGGUCAUUACCCUUUCCUCUCCCUUAACAGUAUUGUUUAUUUAAUCACUAUAACUAGCAAGACGUUCAAAUCUUGUUAAGAUAGUAUGGAUCAUUACCAGACAUUAUGUGGCAGUAUACGUUUAUGCUGGAUUUGCCCAAGAAUAAAGAAAUUAUGGGAGAAAGU